rnacentral:rRNA from 1 species
UACGUAGGUGACCAGCGUUGUCCGGAUUUACUGGGCGUAAAGAGCGCGCAGGCGGUCGUUCAAGUCGAGUGUGAAAGCCCCCCGGCUCAACUGGGGAGGGUCAUUCGAUACUGAUCGACUUGAAGGCAGGAGAGGGAAGCGGAAUUCCCGGUGUAGUGGUGAAAUGCGUAGAGAUGUGGAGGAACACCAGUGGCGAAGGCGACUCUUUGGCCUGUAACUGACGCUGAGGCGCGAAAGCGUGGGGGAGCAAACAGG